GCGUACGGGUGAGUAACACGUGGAUCAUCUACCUUUUAGUGGGGAAUACCGCUGGGAAACCGGCGACAAUACCGCAUAAUCUCGAGGGAGGAAAGCCGCAAGGCGCUGAAAGAGGAGUCCGCGGUCGAUUAGCUAGUUGGUGAGGUAAUGGCUCACCAAGGCUGUGAUCGAUAGCCGGCCUGAGAGGGCACACGGCCACACUGGCACUGAAACACGGGCCAGACUCCUACGGGAGGCAGCAGUGGGGAAUCUUGCACAAUGGGGGAAACCCUGAUGCAGCGACGCCGCGUGAGCGAUGAAGCCCCUCGGGGUGUAAAGCUCUUUCGGCAGGGAAGAUUAUGACGGUACCUGCAAAAGCAGCUGCGGCUAACUACGUGCCAGCAGCCGCGGUAAUACGUAGGCAGCAAGCGUUGUCCGGAGUUACUGGGCGUAAAGGGUGCGUAGGCGGCUUUUAAGUUUGGUGUGAAAUCUCCCGGCUCAACUGGGAGGGUGCGCCGAAUACUGAGAGGCUAGAGUGUGGGAGAAGGACAGUGGAAUUCCUGGUGUAGCGGUGAAAU
rnacentral:rRNA from 1 species